rnacentral:tRNA from 1 species
GCCCCCCUAGCUCAGUCGGUAGAGCGUUUCCAUGGUAAGGAAAAGGUCAUCGGUUCGACUCCGAUGGGGGGCU